rfam:Picea glauca, whole genome shotgun sequence.
ACAUGCGUACAACAUAGCGUUAAUGCACUGGAUCCCAUUAUAACUACGCAGUUAAGCGUGCUCGGGCUAGUGUAGUACUGGGAUGGGUGACCUCCCGGGAAGUCCUAGUAUUUUACAUGCC